ensembl:lncRNA
GUGCUGCUUUUAUUUUUCUACUAGGUGUCUGGUUGGCUGGAUAUAUGGCUGGUUUUGCCACUCCCUCUCCAUCAUGCUGGGAAGCAUUUUGGCUGCAAAAGAAUCAGAUGCAGCCAGAAGUCUCUGACAUGAUGACUGUUCCGUAUACUAUUCCUCGUGUUUGUUUUUGCUACAUUACAUUUGCAUUAUUUUCUUUUUGUGGCAUACUAUGGAACAAAAUUUUGUUGUUGCUGUUUUUAGUCUUUCAGAUCAACCCUCUUCAGCAGGAACACCUGCAGAAGGAGUCAGUGGAAAGUAUGUGUGAAGUGUAUUUAAAAAUAUAUAUUAAUAUACUUGUGCCUCUUAAUAUAUAGGAGGUAUUUUGAAAGAGUGAAUAAUAUCC